rnacentral:misc_RNA from 1 species
GAUGAAGAACGUAGUGAAAUGCGAUACGUAAUGUGAAUUGCAGAAUUCAGUGAAUCAUCGAAUCUUUGAACGCAUAUUGCGCUCUUUGGUAUUCCGAAGAGCAUGCUUGUUUGAGUAUCAGUAAACUCCUCAAAGCUUUUGGAUUUUUUAAUCGAAAAGCUUUGGACUUGAGCAAUCCCAACACCAAUCUUUUUGAGAUCGGUGGCGGGUUGCUUGAAAUGCAGGUGCAGCUGGACAUUCUCCUGAGCUAAAAGCAUAUUCAUUUAGUCCCGUCAAACGGAUUAUUACUUUUGCUGCAGCUAACAUAAAGGGAGUUUGACCGUAUUGGCUGACUGAUGCAGGAUUUCACAAGGGUCGGCAACGAUUCUUGUUAAACUCGAUCUCAAAUCAAGUAAGACUACCCGCUGAACUUAAGCAUAUAAUAAGCGGAGGA